rnacentral:rRNA from 1 species
GACGAACGCUGGCGGCGUGCUUAACACAUGCAAGUCGAAGAUAGUGGCUAACGGGUGAGUAAUACGUGGGUAACCUGCCCUCCUUUUUGGGGUAAGCCUUGGUAACGGGGUCUAAUACCGCAUCAUGGGGGAUGGGCUCGCGGCCGAUCAGCGUGUUGGUGGGGUGAUGGCCUACCAAGGCGGUGACGGGUAGCCGGGCUGAGAGGGUCACCGGCCACGUGGGGCCGGCGAGACGGCCCAGACUCCUACGGGAGGCAGCAGUGGGGGAUAGGGCACAAUGGGGGAAGGCCUAAGGCGGCGACGUCGCGUGGGGUAUCGAGGCGUUCGGGUUGUAAACCUCUUUCGCUCGCGAACGGGUAGUUGGCGAAGAAGCGCCGGCUAACUACGUGCCAGCCGCCGCGGUAAUAC